rnacentral:rRNA from 1 species
UACGUAGGGUGCGAGCGUUAAUCGGAAUUACUGGGCGUAAAGCGUGCGCAGGCGGUUUUGUAAGCCAGAUGUGAAAGCCCCGGGCUUAACCUGGGAAUGGCAUUUGGGACUGCAAGGCUUGAGUGCGGCAGAGGAGACUGGAAUUCCUGGUGUAGCAGUGAAAUGCGUAGAUAUCAGGAGGAAUACCGAUGGCGAAGGCAGGUCUCUGGGCUGACACUGACGCUCAUGCACGAAAGCGUGGGGAGCAACAAGG